rnacentral:lncRNA from 1 species
GAGGGCGCGCGGGAACCCGGCCCGGCCGUACCCCGCCGGCCUGCCGACCCGGGUCCGGGGGCCCAGUUGGCGCCCGGACCAGCUCUCCGGUCUGCGUCCUGUAGAUGGGAAAACUGAGGCCUGAGAGGGCGCGAGGGCGGGGACGAGGCCGAGGACUCGGGUUCGAAUCUCGAGGACGCCAGUAGCCCGCUCUGAGGCCGCGUGGGGCUGGUGGAGGAGCCACCGGUCGGGCCCCCAAGACCGGCUGACGUGGGCCUCGCCUCGGGCGACUCCCGCCGGGCUAGUGGCUGGCCGUGUGGUGACCUUGGGCGAGUUACUUCGCACAGCCACCCAGGGGCCUCUUCUCCAACACGAUAGCACUGCACCCGGAGGGUAAUGUGAAAUGGUGAGACAUGAUUCCUCAGAGCUCUGUUAUCCCACAAGUCUGUGUCUACCAGCCGCACAAGGAAAAUCUUUCACGAGGUUCCUCUCAGUUCCUGUGGCAGACAGACUCUUGGGGAAGUUGCUCACCAUCCCACCUGCUGAUGUCAUGGCUUUCUAAGCAAGCUGGCAUGUGGCAGCCUGCGGAUGUUGGGAGGCCACACGGCAAGGAACUGCAGCAUCUCUAGGAGCUGAGGGUGGACCCUGACUGGCAGCCAACAACAAACUGAAGCUCUCAAGCCUACCACCAUAAGGAAUUGAAUUCUGCCAAUAACCUGAGCCUUCAGACCUGAGCUGAAAUCUACACCACCGGCUCUCUGACUAUCAGGCUUUGGACUAUACUUUGGGCUUUCCUGGGUCUCUUACCUGGCAGACAGCAGAUUUUGGAACUUUUCAGCCUCCAUAAUCAUUUCCCAGAAGAACCACAAAGCAUAAAUUUCCCCAAAAGGGGAAUUUUGUUGAUGGCUUUAGUCUAUUCCCUCCUAAAAGACCAGCUACAACCAAAUGAAGUGAACAUAACCUCAAGGGUGUAUUGUCUUCAUAAUAAAAGAUGAAGCUUAGAACUGGA